rnacentral:lncRNA from 1 species
UAGUAUUAAAGGCAUGUACCACCAUGCCAGGCUGCAAUACUUUAAAAGACUCCAUAUUCUAAAUAAAUAUGACAAUAUAUUUGUAGUCCUAGCAAUUAUAUCUCAGUAUAAACCAUCCAAGAGUCUGCUUCACUAGGAAACUGAUUAGUCACACUUUUUUUUCAGAGACUGUCAGAAUUUUGGAAGCUAGAACAUACGCACCAGUAUACUAGACUCUUGGUUUUUAUUUUUUCAGACAAGGUCUCACUAGGUAGCCCAGGCUGACCUGGAACUCACAGCAAUCUUCAGUGCUGGAAACUGCCCCCAUAUUUCAUAUGAUGACCCAGCUCCAAGUCUUACAUCCAACGGACAGAUAGGGAGACUAGACCUUACAGUAUUCAAAUUUAAGUCUCAUGACACUCAAGUCUGAGUUCCCUCAUAUCGUUCUUUCCCCUCACCCCAACCUCUCUUCUCAAGCUCCACAGGUUCCCCCUCUCACUUCUGUGUUUUUUGCUAGCUGAUAAUAUCCUCAGGAAAUUCUCCCUUUCUGUCAGACAUAGUGGCAUAAGUAUAUAAUCUUGGAAGGUGGAGACAGGAGAAUCAGGAGUUCAAGACCAGUCUUUGACCACAUAGCAGUUUUGAGGGUGGCCUAGGGUACUGAGGCCUCAUCUCAAAAGAGAGAGAGAGAGAGAGAGAGAGAGAGAGAGAGAGAGAAAUAAGGGAGAGGGGAACUGCAGGGAGGAGAAAGGAAAGGAGUCCUUUCAGUCCUGAUCCCAUUUCCUUUAAUAAGCAAGAUUCCUCUCUCCCCUCUCCAGACUGACUUCACAGACUGACUUCACAGGCAGACUUCACAGACUGACUUCACAGACUGACUUCACAGACUGACUUCACAGGCAGACUUCACAGACUGACUUCACAGGCUGACUUCACAGACUGACUUCACAGGCAGACUUCACAGACUGACUUCACAGGCUGACUUCACAGGCAGACUUCACAGACUGACUUCACAGGCAGACUUCACAGGCUGACUUCACAGACUGACUUCACAGGCUGACUUCACAGACUGACUUCACAGGCAGACUUCACAGACUGACUUCACAGGCAGACUUCACAGGCAGACUUCACAGGCAGACUUCACAGGCAGACUUCACAGGCAGACUUCACAGGCUGACUUCACAGACUGACUUCACAGACUGACUUCACAGACUGACUUCACAGGCAGACUUCACAGACUGACUUCACAGGCAGACUUCACAGACUGACUUCACAGGCAGACUUCACAGGCUGACUUCACAGACUGACUUCACAGGCAGACUUCACAGGCAGACUUCACAGACUGACUUCACAGACUGACUUCACAGGCAGACUUCACAGGCAGACUUCACAGGCAGACUUCACAGGCUGACUUCACAGACUGACUUCACAGACUGACUUCACAGACUGACUUCACAGGCCGACUUCACAGACUGACUUCACAGGCUGACUUCACAGACUGACUUCACAGGCAGACUUCACAGACUGACUUCACAGGCAGACUUCACAGGCAGACUUCACAGGCUGACUUCACAGACUGACUUCACAGGCAGACUUCACAGGCUGACUUCACAGGCUGACUUCACAGACUGACUUCACAGACUGACUUCACAGGCAGACUUCACAGGCAGACUUCACAGACUGACUUCACAGGCAGACUUCACAGACUGACUUCACAGGCAGACUUCACAGGCAGACUUCACAGACUGACUUCACAGGCAGACUUCACAGACUGACUUCACAGGCUGACUUCACAGACUGACUUCACAGGCUGACUUCACAGACUGACUUCACAGGCAGACUUCACAGACUGACUUCACAGGCAGACUUCACAGACUGACUUCACAGACUGACUUCACAGACUGACUUCACAGGCAGACUUCACAGGCAGACUUCACAGACUGACUUCACAGGCUGACUUCACAGGCUGACUUCACAGGCAGACUUCACAGGCAGACUUCACAAGCUGACUUCACAGGCUGACUUCACAGGCAGACUUCACAGGCUGACUUCACAGGCUGACUUCACAGACUGACUUCACAGGCUGACUUCACAGGCUGACUUCACAGGCUGACUUCACAGACUGACUUCACAGGCAGACUUCACAGGCUGACUUCACAGGCUGACUUCACAGACUGACUUCACAGACUGACUUCACAGGCAGACUUCACAGGCAGACUUCACAGGCAGACUUCACAGGCAGACUUCACAGGCUGACUUCACAGACUGACUUCACAGGCAGACUUCACAGGCAGACUUCACAGACUGACUUCACAGGCAGACUUCACAGGCUGACUUCACAGGCAGACUUCACAGGCUGACUUCACAGGCAGACUUCACAGGCUGACUUCACAGGCUGACUUCACAGACUGACUUCACAGGCUGACUUCACAGGCUGACUUCACAGACUGACUUCACAGGCAGACUUCACAGGCUGACUUCACAGGCUGACUUCACAGGCUGACUUCACAGGCUGACUUCACAGACUGACUUCACAGGCAGACUUCACAGGCAGACUUCACAGGCUGACUUCACAGGCAGACUUCACAGGCUGACUUCACAGACUGACUUCACAGGCAGACUUCACAGGCAGACUUCACAGACUGACUUCACAGGCAGACUUCACAGACUGACUUCACAGGCUGACUUCACAGGCUGACUUCACAGGCUGACUUCACAGACUGACUUCACAGGCUGACUUCACAGGCAGACUUCACAGGCUGACUUCACAGGCAGACUUCACAGACUGACUUCACAGGCAGACUUCACAGGCUGACUGGCUGUUGAUCACUCAGGAGAGAAGAGAAUAACUCACCGUCAUUCUCAAACACAGUAAAUGUUGCGCUCCUAAGGAUCUGUCCAGCACACUUUUCCUGAACGCCUCCUUGGAUUCAGUGCGGA